rnacentral:rRNA from 1 species
GAUGAACGCUGGCGGCGUGCUUAACACAUGCAAGUCGAACGGAAAGGCGAUGCUCUUGCUGGGUUCUCGAUUGGCGAACGGGUGAGUAACACGCGAGUAACCUGCACUUGUCUUAGUGGUAACUCUAGGGAACAGGGGCUAAUAUCCGGUAUGAUCUCCUGCACCGUGUUGGGGGUUGGAAAGAUUCGGCGGUUCGGGAUGGACUCGCGGGUUAUGAGCUUGUUUGUCGGGUAGUGGAUUACCAAGGCUUUGAAGGGUAGCCUGCCUGAGAGGGUGACCGGCGACCAUGGGACUGAGGUAGGGACCAGAAUGCAACGGGCGGCAGCGGUGGGGAAUAUUGCACAAUGGGGGGAAGUGAGAUGCAGCAACGCCGCGAGCGGAAUAACGGCUUUCUGGUUAUAAACCGCUUUCGAAGGUGACGAAGCCUGAGUGACGGUAAUGAGUAAAGAAGCACCGGCUAACUACGUG